rnacentral:rRNA from 1 species
AUACGUAGGUGGCGAGCGUUGUCCGGAAUUAUUGGGCGUAAAGAGCAUGUAGGCGGCUUAAUAAGUCGAGCGUGAAAAUGCGGGGCUCAACCCCGUAUGGCGCUGGAAACUGUUAGGCUUGAGUGCAGGAGAGGAAAGGGGAAUUCCCAGUGUAGCGGUGAAAUGCGUAGAUAUUGGGAGGAACGCCAGUGGCGAAGGCGCCUUUCUGGACUGUGUCUGACGCUGAGAUGCGAAAGCCAGGGUAGCGAACGGGAUUAGAUACCCCGGUAGUCCUGGCCGUAAACGAUGGGUACUAGGUGUAGGAGGUAUCGACCCCUUCUGUGCCGGAGUUAACGCAAUAAGUACCCCGCCUGGGGAGUACGGCCGCAAGGUUGAAACUCAAAUGAAUUGACGGGG